rnacentral:rRNA from 1 species
CCUACGGGGGGCAGCAGUGAGGAAUAUUGGUCAAUGGACGCAAGUCUGAACCAGCCAUGCCGCGUGAAGGAUGAAGGUGCUAUGCAUUGUAAACUUCUUUUAUACGGGAGUAAUUACAGAUACGUGUAUCUUUAUGAAAGUACCGUAUGAAUAAGGAUCGGCUAACUCCGUGCCAGCAGCCGCGGUAAUACGGAGGAUCCGAGCGUUAUCCGGAUUUAUUGGGUUUAAAGGGUGCGUAGAUGGUCAGGUAAGUUAGAUGUGAAAGCUCGCGGCUCAACAGUGAAAUUGCAUGUGAUACUGUCUGACUUGAGUGCAGUUGAGGAAGGCGGAAUGCGUGGUGUAGCGGUGAAAUGCUUAGAUAUCACAAAGAACACCGAUUGCGAAGGCAGCUUACUAAGCUGCCACUGACGUUGAGGCUCGAAAGUGUGGGGAGCGAACAGGAUUAGAUACCCCAGUAGUC